GGAAUUUCAGCAGUGGACUCGCUGGCCACAAAAGACUGGCAUCAACAGAGGUCCUUCUCGAAGCCACCCAUCUGCGAGCGCUGGCGCUUAACAGACAAACAGCCAGGAAAUUUUUCUCCGACAAGCCCAUACACCAGGCCUGAGGCUGCCCAAGCAGAUGGCCGCGAUGUGGAAGACGGAGAUGGACAGCGUCGGGGGAGUGUGGCGAAGACGGACGGCUCCCGUUGCUGGCAGCUCACAGCGGGACCAAAGCCCCUCACUCUCAGGUCCCCAGGGGCCCCACGGAAUCAGUAAUGGUGCACACUUCUCCACAUUCUUCCAGGCACAGUUUUAUCUUCCUUUUCAUAGUGCUUAUGCUCUUGGUGUUCUUGGGCUUGUUUUAUCUUUUACUACCCGUCUGUAAUGACUCUUUUUAUUUUAAAAAAGUAUGUCCACUAGCCUUUCACCCAUUCUGUGUAUAUAUGGCUAAUCUUACCAGAAUUGAUGCAUUACAUCCUGAAGAGUACUGAGAUCACAUCUGCUUCCAAAACGUCACCCUUAAUGGAGAACAUGUAAAACCAAAAUGAACGGAUUUAAGGUUCAGGUGAACACUGCAUUUGAAUUAUCCUGAGUAUAGUUAUGAAUAAUAAUAUGAAUUCCAGAUUUAAUUAAUUUAUUUGGUGGCGCAGUGGG